GACGAACGCUGGCGGCGUGCUUAACACAUGCAAGUCGAACGGAAAGGCCCUGCUUUUGUGGGGUGCUCGAGUGGCGAACGGGUGAGUAACACGUGAGUAACCUGCCCUUGACUUUGGGAUAACUUCAGGAAACUGGGGCUAAUACCGGAUAGGAGCUCCUGCUGCAUGGUGGGGGUUGGAAAGUUUCGGCGGUUGGGGAUGGACUCGCGGCUUAUCAGCUUGUUGGUGGGGUAGUGGCUUACCAAGGCUUUGACGGGUAGCCGGCCUGAGAGGGUGACCGGCCACAUUGGGACUGAGAGACGGCCCAGACUCCUACGGGAGGCAGCAGGGGGGAAUAUUGCACAAUGGGCGGAAGCCUGAUGCAGCAACGCCGCGUGCGGGAUGACGGCCUUCGGGUUGUAAACCGCUUUCGCCGGUGACGAAGCGUGAGUGACGGUAAUGGGUAAAGAAGCACCGGCUAACUACGUG
rnacentral:rRNA from 1 species